AAAAUAUCUGAGGUUGAGACCGAGAUUAGGGUUGUGCUUCAUCUCGACUGACCAGCGACGACGGACGACUCCUCCAAAAUCGGCGACGGAGGACAAUACAAAACUUCGAUUAAAGUAGCUAUGUCUAGUAGUUCAUCAAAGGUGAAGCAUAGAAGCACCAAUGGGAAAUUGGAUUUGAGAUAUAAGAAUCCGUUUUGUCGAUGCGGAUGAUAUGCUUCUAUAAAAGUCGUUGGGUCUACAAAAGAUACUAAAGGAAUUAAGGAAGCUCGCACAAAGUCGAUGAGUUUGAUAAAUUUGAAGUGGUUUCGAGGAUGAAUAUCCUCAAUUUGGAAGUACCUGAAGUUGAAGAUAUUGCACGGUUGAUCAAACUAUGUGAAGAAUCGAAUAAUAAGUUGCGUCGCUUUGAAAAAAGAUAGAUGUCUAUCCUAAUUGCUAUUGUAAUAAUUGGAUGUGUUGUAUUGAUUAAGUUGAACUGUAAUGCGGAUGAUAUGAUCAAGUUGUUACAUUAUCCUAGGACAUGUGGCCGUACGUUUUAUUUCGUAUUAGUUGUUUGAAGUAAUGAAAGGUAUGUAGUCGUAUGUUAUAUGUUGUAUUAGAAGUUGUAUGUUGUUUGUUAUGGUAGAGUUAUCGAAGUUUUCGAUGACCUUAGUUGGUUGAUUUUAUGAACAUUUUGGCUAUGUUAAAAAUGAAGUUAUGUAUUUUUCUAGUCUAUUCAUUUGUAAUGAA